AGCAUCCUGCAUUUUAAUGUGAUACAUAUGACCUGGUAGUAGUGUGUCCAUGUGUACAUUGUGUAGCGGAGAUGUGCAUCUCCGUGACUGUGGCCGAUGUCAUGCACUGCCAACGAUCCAACACAUAAGAUACGUAUGAAGCAACUACUAAUGCAAUAUGAUACUAUUCACCCCUACUGAGAUGCAUCAUUGGUUACACCUUGAGAAAAAGUCUAGAGAGGGGGAGUCAAUCUAAGUAUAAAAUGAUUGGUCACAUUUCUAAAUAUAGUGAAGGCAUAGGGCCUCUGCUUAUGAUGAUAUAUUUUUGUAACCCUGGCCGUGUGCUGCUUCCCACUCAUUAACUCCAUUGACAGGACAUGUCAGGCCCAAGACCUUCCCGUCGUGACACUCUGUGCUGUGUUCUGGUAUGUUGGUGAUGUGACAUGGAGUGGUGAGGGAUGUGCAAGCCAGGUCAGGCCCAGGACCCUCCCAUCCUGACACUCUGCGCUGUGUUCUGGUAUGUUGGUGAUGUGAUGUGGAGUGGUGAGGGAGGUGCAAGCCAGGUCAGGCCCAGGACCCUCCCAUCCUGACACUCUGCGCUGUGUUCUGGUAUGUUGGUGAUGUGACAUGGAGUGGUGAGGGAUGUGCAAGCCAGGUCAGGCCCAGAACCCUCCCAUCCUGACACUCUGCGCUGUGUUCUGGUAUGUUGGUGAUGUGACAUGGAGUGGUGAGGGAUGUGCAAGCCAGGUCAGGCCCAGGACCCUCCCAUCCUGACACUCUGCGCUGUGUUCUGGUAUGUUGGUGAUGUGACAUGGAGUGGUGAGGGAGGUGCAAGCCAGGUCAGGCCCAGGACCCUCCCAUCCUGACAACUCUGCGCUGUGUUCUGGUAUGUUGGUGAUGUGAGGAAGGUCCAGUCCCAGGUGCGACACACCGGCAGCGACUGCGGUGACAGUCUGGCUUCAGGUGUUCUGACCCGGCGGGGAGUGUAAUGAUAGGAGAGGUGGGUGGUGGUGAAUAGAGUCUGUAGGUAAAUAUGACUUAAACAGCAAAAUAAAACUAAAAACUUACUACUAUCUCACAGAUAUGUCUUUACUUAAAAAUUAGAAAAGAAACAACGAAAUUUUACACUGUAUCAUAGAUUCUGCCUCACUUUGCAGUAAACAUAAGUACACGUUGGCAAUGCUUUGUUCGUCUUAGACAGAUAAAAAAGAGCACUUGCUUUUCUGCACAGCUUACAGUCACAAAUGAAAGCUCUCAAUGCACAUUAAAGAUGCGCAAAUACAAUAAAAUUUAACAUGUAAUAUUUGACCAGUUACUGCCUUAGUUAUACUUGUCUGCCCCAAAAGAAUUUGCUGCUAAUUAACUUCACCAUAGCGGGUAACUACUAAAGCACCAGCAGUCAGGCUGAGCUUUAUUUUGAGACAGAGGUAAACAAGCACAGGGGCAGAGUCAUCGUCGGGAGAACAGGGGCAGAACGUCCAGGCGUCAGGGAGGUCCGUCUGAAAACGCAGACAGGAAACAUUGAGAGGUCAAGAGCAGGACGAUGGAUGAGAGGGAGGACAGGAAAGGGUUUGGCCUGCAGAAGGUCUCACUGGGGUAGCGACAAUACACUAUAUUGCCAAAAGUAUUGGGACACCCCUCCAAAUCAUUGAGCUCUGGUGUUCCAAUUACUUCCACAGCCACAGGUGUAUAAAAUCAAGCACCUAGGCAUGCAGACUGCUUCUACACCUAAAGAAUGGGUCGC